UUUUCCCCCCUGUUUUUUAAAACAUGUCUUCUUGUUUAUGAUAUAAAAAGUCGUACCUGCUCACUGAUAAUAAUUAAAGAGCCGCGGUAAUUUGACCGUGCAAAGGUAGCAUAAUAAUUAGUCUUUUAAUUGAAGGCUGGAAUGAAAGGUUUGAUGAGACAAUUGCUGUCUCUUGUUAAUAAUUUGAAUUUUAUUAUUAAGUUAAAAAGCUUAGAUGAAUAUAAGGGACGAGAAGACCCUAUAGAUCUUUAUAACUAAUAAUUAGGAGUGGAUUGUMGGAGAUUCUUUUUUAGUUAAUAGGUUAUUUAGUUGGGGUGACUAGGAAACAAUUAGAACUUUUUUUGUGAAAUACUUUGAUAAUAGGAAUAAUGAUCUUAUAUUAUGGAUUAAAAGAUUAAGAUACCUUAGGGAUAACAGCAUAAUUUCAUUUGAAAGUUCAUAUUGACAAUGAAGAUUAUGACCUCGGAUUUUGGAUUAAGAUUAUAAAUUGGUGCAAAAGUUAAUUUAUUUAGUCUGUUCGACCAUUAAUCUA
rnacentral:rRNA from 1 species